rnacentral:rRNA from 1 species
CCUACGGGUGGCAGCAGUGAGGAAUAUUGGACAAUGGGGGAAACGCUGAAGCAGCGACGCCGCGUGAGGGAAGAAGGAAUUCGGUAUGGAAAGCUCUAUCAGCAGGGAAGAAAAGGACUCUACGUGAGUAAAAAUCCCCGUCUAACGUCGUUCCACCAGCCGUGGUAAUACGUAGGCGGCAAGCGUUAUCCGGAUUUAGCGGGGGUAAAGGGAGAGUAUUCGGUAGUGCAGGUCUGUGGUGAAAGGCGGGGGCUCAACCAGAGGAUUGCUGGGUAAACUGUAAGACUGGAGUGCAGGAGAGGUAGGUGGAAUGCGUGGUGUAGCGGUGAAAUGCGUAGAUAUUAGGAGGAACACCGGUGGCGAAGGCAGCUUACUGGACUGUAACUGACGUUGAGGCACGAAAGCGUGGGGAGCAAACAGGAUUAGAUACCCCAGUAGUC